GAUGAACGCUGGCGGCGUGCCUAAUACAUGCAAGUCGAGCGAAUGGAUUAAGAGCUUGCUCUUAUGAAGUUAGCGGCGGACGGGUGAGUAACACGUGGGUAACCUGCCCAUAAGACUGGGAUAACUCCGGGAAACCGGGGCUAAUACCGGAUAAUAUUUUGAACUGCAGGGUUCAAAAUUGAAAGGCGGCUUCGGCUGUCACUUAUGGAUGGACCCGCGUCGCAUUAGCUAGUUGGUGGGGUAACGGCUCACCAAGGCAACGAUGCGUAGCCGACCUGAGAGGGUGAUAGGCCACACUGGGACUGAGACACGGCCCAGACUCCUACGGGAGGCAGCAGUAGGGAAUCUUCCGCAAUGGACGAAAGUCUGACGGAGCAACGCCGCGUGAGUGAUGAAGGCUUUCGGGUCGUAAAACUCUGUUGUUAGGGAAGAACAAGUGCUAGUUGAAUAAGCUGGCACCUUGACGGUACCUAACCAGAAAGCCACGGCUAACUACGUGCCAGCCGCCGCAGUAA
rnacentral:rRNA from 1 species